UGAAUACGAGAUGCUACGGCGUCGAAGCAGUCUAUGUCAUACUUCCAAGAAAAGCUUGCACUGUCAUAAACAAAUAAUGCCUGUACCAUAACCGACACAGGUGGGUAGGUAGAGUAUACUAAGGGGCGCGAGAUAACUCUCUCUAAGGAACUCGGCAAAAUGACUCCGUAACUUCGGGAGAAGGAGUGCCUUAUUUAUAAGGUUGCAAUAACAAGAUCCAAGCAACUGUUUACCAAAAACACAGGUCUCCGCUAAGUCGUAAGACGAUGUAUGGGGGCUGACGCCUGCCCAGUGCCAGAAGGUUAAAGAAGUUGGUUAGCAUCCGCGAAGCUGAUAACUGAAGCCCUGGUGAACGGCGGCCGUAACAAUAACGGUCCUAAGGUAGCGAAAUUCCUUGUCGGGUAAGUUCCGACCCGCACGAAAGGCGUAAUGAUUUGGAUACUGUCUCGGAGAGGGGCUCGGUGAAAUAGACUUGUCUGUGAAGAUGCGGACUACCCGCACCAGGACAGAAAGACCCUAUGAAGCUUUACUGUAACCUGAAAUUGAAAUUGGACUUUACUUGCGCAGUAUAGGUGGGAGGCGUUGAGAAUAUUCUUGCGGGAUUAUUGGAGCCAUCAGUGAGAUACCACUCUUGUAAUGUUAGAUUUCUAACUUUGUAUCAUUAUCUGGUCAAAGAACAGUUUCAGGCGGGCAGUUUGACUGGGGCGGUCGCCUCCUAAACGGUAACGGAGGCGCACAAAGGUUUCCUCUGAACGGGUAGAAAUCGUAUCUAGAGUGUAAAGGCAUAAGGAAGCUUGACUGUGAGACCUACAAGUCGAGCAGGGACGAAAGUCGGUCUUAGUGAUCUGACGGUGCUGAGUGGAAAGGCCGUCACUCAACGGAUAAAAGUUAUUCUAGGAUAACAGGCUGAUCUCCCCCAAGAGUUCACAUCGACGGGGAGGUUUGGCACCUCGAUGUCGGCUCAUCGCAUCCUGGGGCGGUAGUACGUCCCAAGGGUUGGGCUGUUCGCCCAUGAAAGCGGUACGCGAGCUGGGUUCAGAACGUCGUGAGACAGUUCGGUCCAUAUCCGGUGUAGGCGUUAGAAUAUUGAGAGGAGCCUUCUUUAGUACGAGAGGACCGAGAAGGACAUACCUCUGGUGUACCAGUUAUCGUGCCAACGGUAAACGCUGGGUAGCUAUGUGUGGAGUGGAUAACCGCUGAAAGCAUCUAAGUGGGAAGCCCACCUCAAGAUAAGUAUUCUCA
rnacentral:rRNA from 1 species